GGACGUUAGUUCGUAGUCUGGACUCAGGACACGGCUGGCGGCGUGCCUAAUACAUGCAAGUCGAGCGGACCGGAUCGAGGCUUGCUUGUUUGGUCAGCGGCGGACGGGUGAGUAACACGUACGGGCAACCUGCCCGCAAGACCGGGAGUAACUCCGGGAAACCGGAGCUAAUACCGGAUAACACCGAAGACCGCAUGGUCUUGGGUUGAAAGGCGGCCUUAGAGCUGUCACUUGCGGAUGGGCCCGCGGCGCAUUAGCUAGGUUGGUGAGGUAACGGCUCACCAAGGCGACGAUGCGUAGCCGGCCUGAGAGGGUGACCGGCCACACUGGGACUGAGACACGGCCCAGACUCCUACGGGAGGCAGCAGUAGGGAAUCUUCCGCAAUGGGCGAAAGCCUGACGGAGCGACGCCACGUGAGCGAAGAAGGCCUUCGGGUCGUAAAGCUCUGUUGUGAGGGACGAAGGAGCGCCGUUUGAAGAAGGCGGCGCGGUGACGGUACCUCACGAGAAAGCCCCGGCUAACUACGUG
rnacentral:rRNA from 1 species